AUAAAAGCGUGCAGUCACAACUCCCACCCAACCACUGGGUCCAGACUUCAGCCAGCAAAAGUAGAGCCUCCAUCUGCUAAAGGGAACCACAAAGGGACACUAUGGAAACCGUAUCGAGCCGCGAUGCUGCACCCACCUACCUGGGAUGGUCUAUCUUCAACACGUUAUGUUGUUGUCUUCCUCUGGGGAUUGCUGCAAUUGUCUACUCCUGUAAGGCAAAAGAUGCCAAUGCCAUGGGCGCGGCAACCCAAGCUCAGGAAGCAUCGAGGACGGCCAAGAUCCUGAACAUUGUCGGACUCGUGUGCGGAAUUAUUCUCAUCAUCAUUUGCAUCGCUGUCAGAUUUACUAUGUGAAGACUGACAGCUUGUUUGAUGCUAUAUUGUGGCUCAUGAUAUCUGCAGAUUUUUUUUUUUUUAUGUGUAUAUGUAUAAAGCCAUGGACUUCCCCUCCUCCAUAUGCAGGACCACUAAAUACAACCAGAUGUCACUCCAUGUGUGUCUAUGUAGACCCGUGUGUGUGUGUGUGUGUACUUUUUCAAGCUUCUAUUAACAGACGUAAGGAAUGUUGUUAUAAACUACAGCUUCAAAAAACCACACACAAAAACAUGUUUGUGUGAGGUGAAAGCUCUCUCUCAUACAAUAUAAAAUGCUUGUUUGCUUCUUUUGUUGCACAAAUAAUAAAAAGCAGUAACAUGGAAAU